UCUGAGCUUCAUCUUCAUCGCCGAAACGCUUCCAGUUACAAAAUCUUUGCAUUAGACCCCUUCUUAAAUCCACAACCAUAGUGUAGGCUUCAAUGCAAAUUUUCUGUGUGACGGUGUAUCUGCGAUCAGUGGCGGACCCAGCCCCAUUUUUUAGGGGUGUCAAAUGUUUGGGCUUCAGCCCAGUAUAAACAUUUUUAUACUAAAAUAAGUAAAAAAAGAUAACACAAGGGGUUUGAACUCAGGAAAGGGGGGUCAAGAAAGGGAGUAUUUCACCAACUGAGCUACGAUUUCUUCUUGUCCAAUGACUAAAACUCUUUAAUAGUUAUAUUUAACCUGUUGCACGUGCAACCCCUUCCUAACACGUGGGUCCGCCUCUGUGUGCGAUUAUAAAAAGAUUAGCCUUUCUCCUCUGAAACCCAUCCUCUUAGUCCGUCAAAAAAAAAAAAAAAAACGCAGUAAACUUAUAUUCUGAAAACGAAGUCAUCCAUCUUUCUCUCUGAUUCGAAGAUCGCACGCUGCUCCUCCACUGAUUGAGAUGCUGAAGUCGAUGACAAAGAGUGGAACUUGAAUUGAGAUUUGUCGAUUUUCUCAAAUAAUUGCAAAGAAUCACCUUCAGGAAGCGAUCAGACUACUCCGUCUCCUCCAUGGUAUCCUCGCCGGUUCAUCCUACGGAUUGUCUGUGAGCACGAGUACUCGAUUUUGAAGACAUAAAAGGUUCUUCUAUGAAUUUCCCAUAUUUCUUAAGGUCAGUUUUGGAUUAUUUGAGAAAAUUUCACUUUUUUUGGAACCCGUUGAAGAACACACUGGUUGGAGCUGAGGCUAACCACAACUUGAAUAGCCAAAGUGAACUCCAUAACCGUGGGAUGCUGGGAGCUCAACACGCUCUUGACCCAUUGACCACAGUGAAGGCAUGCGUGAACAAUGCAGGUAUAGCACUGAUCCAACACGGGUGGCAUCCAAAGUCGUUCAUCACCAUCUCUAGAGAGAUUAACUCUAGGGCGAUUGAGAAGAGUUCUAAGAUCACUGGUUCUUGGUGGUCUCUCUGAGAAAUAUCAUGGCUUAUAAAACUUCUGGGUGGUUGAUGGAAUCAACAUAUCGAUGUGGAGACAUUGCGGAUAUUGAUGGUUUGAAGAUGGAUUAAUGUGAGCCUUGAUAUGGAGCUUUUUGGAUCAAACUCUUCUGAUGAGCAGCUUACCGGAGUUAGGAUUCUUAGACAGUUUGCAGUCAAUCAAUGGUACUCGGAUGAGACACUUGAGAAGAUCAUAAUCAACGUCCCUGUUGUUGAAAGGUUGGUGGAGAUGCUGAAGUGAAAAUAUCUGCAAAAGGAAGAGACUAGGAGAUCAGCUGCUGAUAUACUAUCAAAACUCGCUAGCAAACAGCAGAACUCUUUAAGAGUCGCUGGGAUAUCUGGUGCAAUGGAAUCUAUUUUUUCGUUAUAGAGAGCACGAGAUCAUCAGGUGAAGCGCCUGAUGAGAUUGGAGAGAAAAGUGUUCCGUGACUCUAAUCUACACUAUGACUUCUGUAGAUUCAACAGUUUGGGACUCUUGAUCCUGAAGAAGCUAGCGAAAGAUCAUGAUUCAACAGUUUGGGACUCUUGAUCCUGAAGAAGCUAGCAAAAGAUCAUGAUAACUGUGGAAACCUCGGCAACACAAGGGGUUUUCUCCCGAGGAUUAUUGAUUUCACGCACGUGGACCAAGUUCUAUUGUGGGAUGAGAAUGCAGACGUUACCAGGUCACAUGUCCUUGAAACGGUCGUGCAGCUGGUGAAAAUGUUAGUCAGCACGACCGAGAACACAUGGAAGUGUCUUAGGAAGGAGAUCUCAGAGAUUGUUUUUAUGGUGAGCAACAGGAGGGAUGUGCUGAGACACGGAAGCUCGAGAGAGAAUUGGUGGAACGGUGGUGUUUUGAAAGAGCUGUUCAACAUUUUCUUUAAAACAUGUGGAGACGAUGGGAAUCAGGGAUGCGUGAGGAUCACUGCAGGAAGACUCGUGGAAGCACUUGAAGUUCCAUCGAUCCGUGUCAAUGUUGCAAGUUUAUAAUAAAGUGGCUAUUCUCAGAUGUUCCAGAUAAAAGAUGGUCAUAUCAGUAAGAAGAAGAAAAAGAAAAAGACAACUGACAAAUGUUUUACAAACUACAUAUGUAGCUUCGUGUAAAUGUAAUUGAAGGUUAAUAUCAUCAUCUAAGUGCUAAUCCUUUAUCAACCAUAGUUGAGAAAUAAGUAUAAGUUCCUUGAUGGCAGUACCAACAAGCUUGACUUGCAAGUAAUUGAAUUUUGUUUUAUUUCACUGAACCCAGACUUACGAAAGAAAAAUAAAAACGGCGAAUAUCAGGAAUUUUAUGAAAACUAAAAUAAUCCAUAAGAUAUCAAAAAUAUAACAACAAAAUUA